CUGUCCAGCAUCUUGGCGACGACUUCUUAAUUUUUGUCUUUUAAAGAUAAGGGUGCCUAUAAGGUCAUGGGUGGUGCCUCUGCCAUUAGAGGAAUGGAAUGGUCUUGCUCUCUUCUUGGUGGUAAGGAAUUGGGUUCCUCAAAAAUUCCUUGAUAUUUGCCGAUUAUAAGUAACAAAUAACUCCUCGUUAUCAUUAACCACCUCCUAAACCUUUCCUGGCAUUAGAGGAAUGGAGUGGUCUUGCUCUCUUCUUGGUGGUAAGGAAUUGGGGUUCCUCAAAAAUUCCUUGGUAUUUGCUGAUUAUAGGUAACAAUAAUUCCUCAUUAUCAUUAACCCCCUCCUGAGCCUUUCUUGGUUGGGUUUUGUAUUGAAUGGAGUACAUUAGUUGGGUUCCUAAAAAAUUUCUCGGUAUUUGCCGAUUAUAGGUAACAAAACUCCUCGUUAUCAUUAACUCCCUCCUGAGCCUUUCCUGGUUGGGUUUUGUAUUGAAUGGAGUAUGUGUCUUCCCCUCCUUGUUGUGCCUUUAGGAGCCAUCUUCCCCGUCCUUUACCUAGUGCCCUUUACCUAGUGCCCUUUACCUAGUGCCUGCGUCAGUAAUCCUUCACCUUUUACUCCUUGAAUGAUCACUGGUUUUCCAUCCUUUGUUAAGAUAAUUUGCAUCUUUUUAAAGUUGAAGGACCCUGGGUUGUGUGUCUCUUCAUUCAGUAUGUUUCCCAAGAUCAUGCCAUAUAACCCCAGCUCCAUCAUCCUAAAGGUCCUCUUGAACUGUAUUUUCUGCAUUCUUCAGUGCAAAACAGAGGUCUGGUGUUGGCUGGUUAAGGCUUCCCUGUCGGCCACCAAUACCUUGAGUGCUGGGAAAGGUAUGUGUACUGCUGCUGUUCACAAGAAUAAGGGCAAGUCUGGUGUCUAUAGUUUCCCAGAUCUUGGUUGUACUACCCUUUCCAUUCAUUCUGAAAAUUUGCAAUUAAUUUUUUUUGUUACAGCAAUUUCAUUCUUUCACAUGACUGAUAAAAUGAAAAUGCCAAGGAGAACAUUCACACAGUGGCACAGCAGCAGUACAAAAACUAAUUUGGCUUAGAUAUCUGAGUGAUUUGAUGAGAUUAUGCUGUUGCUUUUGUUAAUUGUUACUACUUCCUCUCUGCUUUCCUGUCUCUCUUUCUUAUUUCAUACUAUUCUGGAUCUUGUCUUCUAUUUUUAUCAUUGUCUAAUUUCCCUGCAGAGAGCACUUUACUCGCUUGGACUGAAGAUGUCAGAUUUACAUGCUUCUGUUCAGAGGAAACGAAUUGAACUUAGAUCUUUACAGAGAACAAUCACUUUAUCAACAAUACUUAAAGCUCAAGUAAGGCUAUCUUAUCUGCACGCCUGAAAUUUAAACCUUUAAAUUCUAUAAGUUCUCUAUUUGUACAAUGUGCCAUUUGAAUAUUUUUGGUUGCAUUGGCCAUAUGGGUUUUCUUUCAUUGUUAGUUGUAAGAUAAAGUUAUGCGAACACGUAUAGAUGCACUCGCUGGUUGUGUGAAUUGAUCUAACUUCCCUCUCUUGGCAUAUCACAAACUUAAUUGAAGAUCUUAUUUUGCAAUAUAACAUUUUUAAAAAAAAACUUAUAUAAGGCUUGCAUCGUUGAGUAUAGAUGUGGUCUCUGGAAGACUGGUCCACGCUUGAAGGGGAUUAUUCACAUUCUUUAUCAGAAACAAUUCAAGCUUUGUCGAAUGUCUCAACUCGGCUCCCAUUCAGUUCAAAUAUCAAGGUAUUCUAUUUGUAAUAUUGUUCUGAGCAUGAUGCUAGCCACCCUUGAGAUGCUCCAAUAAGGGAUGAUGCUUCUUUGCAGGUUGAUAUAGGAGAUGUAGGGGAGGCACUAAAUUCAGCAGUGAAGGUGAUGGAAACAAUUCUUUUACACAUUCAAAACUUUGUGCCAAAGGUAUGUCUUUUCUGAAACAAACCAUUUUUCAUGAGAAAGGAAAACAGACUUGCCAUAGACAUGUCUACCAAAGUUGAGCUUGAGCCUCCCACAAUUUGGAAACUUGUCAUUGAUCAGUAGCCAAACAGCCAAUCACUCGUUGACUUCAUAAGAAAAUUGCUUGUUAAAUGCAGGCUGAAGAGUUAGAAAAAUUGAUUUCGGAACUUGCAAGGGUGAUUGGGGGACAAAGAGUUGAGAUCCAAGAAUGUGGAGAUCUAUUAUCUCAGACGUAUGCUUUACAGGUUUGUCCUCAGAAUUUGUGAAAAUCUUUUGCAAUGUUCAUAUUACAAGUAUUCAGCUCAGUUGAAAUAAUCUUCUAUGGCCUUUGCCUGUCAUCACUCUGGUUGCUGUUUGGUCAGGUGGAAGAAUGCAGCUUAAGGAGCCAGCUUAUUCAAUUUCAUCGGAGCUGUCCAGACAUUAAGCAAUAAUUAAUUGCUAUACUACAUUCUUGAUUGAUAUAAAAUUUCAUCUUCAAAAUAUUUCAUGUGCAAAAUAGUUCAUUUCUUUUUUUCUUUUUGUUUCAUUGGCCAUGAAAAUGAUUUGAUUUAUUUGGAUUAAGUUUGGAACAAGUGAUAUUUUUUUUUGUAAAAUUCAUUUAGUUGAUGAAAUCUAAAGUAAAUACCACAAAAUACAUCCAUUUAUUCCAAAUAUAACUUACCUAUAAGAUUUCUCUCCAUCUGAGAGAAUCUGUAGUUCAUAAAUACAAAUUNNNNNNNNNNNNNNNNNNNNNNNNNNNNNNNNNNNNNNNNNNNNNNNNNNNNNNNNNNNNNNNNNNNNNNNNNNNNNNNNNNNNNNNNNNNNNNNNNNNNNNNNNNNNNNNNNNNNNNNNNNNNNNNNNNNNNNNNNNNNNNNNNNNNNNNNNNNNNNNNNNNNNNNNNNNNNNNNNNNNNNNUGUGUCAAGUCCCAAGGUAAAAGUUACCAGGAGCUGGGUCACUGGCAGAUUUCCAGGAAAUGAAUGCACGGUUCACCACCAUUUCUGGGCUGGCCCUAACUUUCAUACCUGGCAAAUAAGUGUCUGUUGCAUCGUUAAAGCUCUGCCCAAUGAGCCUUGUUGACAUCAUCAAGACUAGCUGUGCUUGACAAAACCAAAUUCCCAGUCCCCAUGAGCUUGGCUACUAUGUUGUUUGUGUAACAGCUCCGGAAAUCUCCAAAAGGAAAUAUAUAAUAAUUUAAGUGAAGAUGCGAAAUAAAAGGUUAAAAUUUACAUUUCUUAAACAAUAAGUUAAAAGAACUGAAUAACAUUACGAAAUUUAUUCUUUAAAAGAAACACGAGAAAUAAGGAUAACAAAUGAAAAAUAAAAAAUAUCUAUCAUCUACUCGCAAUCUUCUUACAGAUCGGGCUCUAGAACCUAAUUAUCUUGAUCUGAAAUGAUUAAAUAAAGGAUGAGUUAUACUAAUGCAGUAAGGAUAUCACAUUAUAUCAUCAUCACAGAAACAAAUGUUGAUAUAAAAUCGAAAACCACUAAUGGAGUAUAAAAUUUAAACCAAUACAUUUAUUAAAAAUAAAAUCAUUUACCGUUCAUGUACCAUAGUGGAAUUUAUGAAAACAACCUAUAAGAACAAUAAUACCAUACAGAUCAUAACUUCAUGAACAAUCGGUAAUAUAGAACAUAUCAUAAUUCAUAUCCAUUAACAAUAAACUCAAUCAUAAUUGUUUCUAUUUUCACCAGCUUACUAAUAUCCAUGAGAAUUCAAUAGGGAUGUCCCCGCUACACGUGAACCCUUUCUUUUAACAACUUCAAUUACAUGGCCGUUCCCAUACCCCGUCCAGUAUGAGCGCCAAAACAUUAAACUUCAAUACCCCGUCCGAUAUGAGGGUGAAGCGGGCCGUCCCCAUACCCCGUUUGGUAUGAGCACCAAAUUAUCAAGUCUCCAUACCCCAUUCGGUAUGAGACAACGUUUACAGUAGAUUCCUUAUAUACCCGAUCCAUCCACCAUCUCUCAGAUAUUAGUAAGACUGUCGUUCCAUUUGUUUAUUUGAUCAAACAACUUUCCUGUUUUUCUUUAGUCUCCAUUACCAAAUCAAAUAUAAUCAAAUAAAUAAAUAAACAUGCAUCAGGUAAUGCAAUCAUGUCUCAAAUUCUAAGUCAAGCAGUAGUCAGGUAAGACAACAAUACAUGCAUUUAAACCAUAAAAUAGAUAAAUCAAAUACUAUCAUACUUUUAUACUGUAAAAUAAAUCAACAGAAAACAAUUUUCGGUUCGGGAUCCAUUAACAAUCCGUAAUUAAUUAUGCACAUUUAUUUAAUUUUUACAAAAUAUCGUAUUAUUAUUUAUUUGAAUUUCAAUUCUAUGAUAGCGAAUAUGGCGAGGAAAUUCUUAUUUGAUUUGACACCGAAAAGCUAAACGGUUUAUUGCGCAUACGGGCGAUCUCUGAGUUUUCUGAAUUUUUCUCCGGGAAUUGAAACGCGCUUAUAGUACUUACAAAUGUUACAAAUAAAUCUAAAAUCAGUCUCAUGGCCCACUCGGCCAAUUUCAAAAAUCCGGCACGGCGGCUCCGCCGUGCUCCGGCGAUGGCGUCGUUACCUGCGGCGGUGAUUGCCUUGAAUCAACCGUUUUCGUCCGAAUUCGGCCGAUUUUGCAUCAAUUCCUGCGAGCAAAUACGUUAAAGGGACUCAGUUGGCCAAAAAAAUACGAAAAACCGAAACUCACCGGCUGCGGGGCUCUCCGAUGCGGCGGCUCCUCCGGCUUAUGUUGCAGUUGGGUGUUUUGCUUAUGUCAACCUAUAGAGAAAAAAACGGUGAUCACAACGGUAAAAAAAUUACGCGAAACGGGAAUCGGGAAGGGCCUCAUCGGAGACAAUUUGUGAAAUUUCUUGCGGCGGUGCCGUCGGGUUUCGCCGGUGUUAUUCCGGCCAAUUGGCCAGUCUUUUCACUCCGAUUUGACUAUGGGUGAGCUUCAAAUUGAAUUUCAUGCAAAAGGAAAAGUUUUUACCUUUUUUGGCGGUCGAAAAACGUUCCGAUGCGGUGGCAGGUGGCGGUGAUCAGCUUCCCAGCGGCUGGGUCGUCUUCUCCGGCGAGGGGUUCUGGGGGUUAGGGUUAGGGUUUGGAGCGGAUGAGGGUUAUUUAUACCUAUCCAUUUUUUAUAUGGGCCGUCCAUCGGGUUUUAUUUGAACCGUCCGAUCGCGAUUAAAUAGAGAGUGAAUCUAGAACGUUUAUCGAAAUCCAAUAUGGACCGUCCAUCACGAUUCACUCUGGGCCGUCCGAUCACUUUGAAUCUGGCCGUUCGAUUGCGUUUGGGAGGGAGCGCAUCCAGGUCGUCCGUGCGCGUAGAAACGGACCUCAGCCGUUCGAUCGCGCGCACGCAGAUCCCCCGCGUCAGCGCCUCUGCCACUUGGCGUGUCCUGGUUGGUCAGGGCUGCUGACUCAGUGUCUGACGUGGCGAAACUUCUCAAAAUUGCGUUUUAACUCUUGUUUUUCGAUUUUUCUUUCAAAAAUACAUUCAGAAUCUAAAUUUUUACCCAUUUUCUUCAAAAUUAUUUUCAAUUAAAUCUUUUUUAUAUUUUAUUUUAUUUUUUUAUUUUAAAGUUAAUAAAACAAAAUAUAAUAAUACAAAAUAAAAUUAUAAAAAUUUAUAUUUAUUAAUUUUUAAUUCUACCAAAAAUAAAAUUUUUGGGUGUUACAGUUUGAUUAGAACUUGUCACAUUUGUUGACCAAACCAUGUUGUUAUUCCCAUCAGACAGCACGAGGUUACCAUCGUUCCCAAUCGUCGAAACUCCUCUUUGAUCAGAAAUCGGCAACCCAUACAAUUGUUUCUGGUUCAAUAUUGAAAUACUUAAUACCCAGAUAUCGAAGAUUAGAAUUCUGGGGACUAAAGAAUUUAAGCUCAAAUAAUUCAUUAGGAGAUGCCAAAGUCACAGAGCCACCAUCUCUCAUUGAAUCUCCCUUUGUGAUUGUAUCAACUCCAUGGCAAAACUGAGCAAGAAACAAGUGAAGAAACAAACUGAAAGCAAAACCCAACUGGGUUUUCUUCUUAGCCAUUAAACCUUUCACAUAAAAAAAACAAAGACUCAUGUGAAGAUGAUAGAAAAGGGGAAAAAAAAAACAAGAAAAACCCGGGAGAAGAUAAGAAAAAUUGGUAAGAAAAAUCUGCGAGUGGUAUGUUAUUUGAGGAAGAGAAGUAAGACUGGGAAAGUUUUGCAAGUUGAAAUGGGUUAGUUUGCUGGAAUUCUAAACCACCGAAAAGAAUUUGUUUCGAUGGGGAAAAUCCAGCAAAUUGCCUAACGGGGUGUGUCUUUGUUGACUAAUCAAAAUCUGGAAGAGUUUUAAAAGAAGAAAAACAUGGUUUGGUGAGGGAAGGUCAAGAAAAUUCAUCAAACACAUGCAGUUGAAAAAUAGCCAUGGAUUCUUUUAUCUCUAAAAGUUAGCAAAAGAGAGAGUUCUCUGAAACUUAUUGAAGCUAUUCUGGACACUUACAGCCUUCUUACUUUUUACUGUUCAUCCCCCUCUCUCCUUCCUCGCUUUGUUGUAACCGGAGAAUGGUUUUUCUAUAAAUAUUUUAUGAUAAUUUUUUUUUUAAAUUUUUAUUAUUAUUUAAUUGUAUUUUGUUAUUAUAUUAAAUAUCAAUUACUAUAAUAAAUUAAAAAUCAAUAAUAAUAAUAAUUCAUAACAAAAAUAUAAUAUAAUCUUUAAUUAAUUAAUUAAAAAGUUCUUAUUCUUUCAAAGUAAAUACUUAAGAUUAACAUUUUAGCAAUUAUGAUCCAAAAAUGGGAAAAGAAAAAAUUAUGUGUAAAAUUUUAUAAGCUCGCAUUAAAUUAAGUUCAAUAUUUUUAUUUUUUAUUGUUGAAUUUUAAUUAUAAAUACAGUAUAAAUUAAUAGUAAUAAAUUGACACAAAAUUAUUAGAUAAUAUAAUAUUUAUUUUAUCGAAAUUAUGAUAAUUCUGUCAUAAUAAAAUUUAAUUUAAUUAUUAUUGAAGUGUUAAAAAAUAUGUGACUGUCGAUUAAUAACAUGCUUAAAAUAGAACAAAUUAUGUGAUUUCAAUGAAAUUUAAAUAUUCAUGACAUUAGUAUCUUACAAUACUUAUUAUAUGAUAUAAUAUGUGAAGUCAUAAAAACAUAUAUAUAUAUAUAUAUGUUGAAGAUAGAUUUGAGUAGUCUUCACAUGGAGGCUGAAACUGGCACAUGGCUAUCAACUUUGACAAAUUUGGACCACACCCAUGUUGUUGGCCGAUAUAAAUACCAUAUUGUAUUAUUAAAUUAUUAUGGUAUAUAAGACCUUAUAGUAUAAAAUCAAUCAUACACGUGGAACACAUAGAUUAAUAAUUAAUUAAAAAUAAUAAUGACAAAAGAAGCAGUUAAUGAGUCAAUUUUAAGGAGUAGAUUUUGGAAGGUGACACGUUUCAUUAAAUAAUUAACCAACGCAGGAAAAUCUUAGUGCUUUGGACGCUUUUUGGUCAACCUAAUAAAUCCUAAAUUACACAUUACACAAUUUUUAAUUAAGUAAUUAGAUUUUAAAAUAUUAUAAUUAACCCUUUUUAUUUUUACUAUUAGGGUUAUUUAUAAUUAAACUUUAUGUUAUGAUUUCUUUAUUGAAAAUGAUGAAUUAGGUUAAAACAACUCCUUAUAAAAUAAGCUUCCAUGAGUCAUUAUAUUAUAUUUAUUCAUGGGUUUNNNNNNNNNNNNNNNNNNNNNNNNNNNNNNNNNNNNNNNNNNNNNNNNNNNNNNNNNNNNNNNNNNNNNNNNNNNNNNNNNNNNNNNNNNNNNNNNNNNNNNNNNNNNNUAGGGGUCCCCGCUACACGUGAACUAUUCCUUUUAAACAAUCUUAAUUUCAGGGUCGUUCUCAAUACCCCGUCUGGUAUGAGGGUGAAGCGGGCCGUCCCCAUACCCCGUCCGGUAUGAGGGUCAAAACAAUAAACCUCAAUACCCCGUCCGAUAUGAGGGUGAAGCGGAUCGUCCCUAUACUCCAUCUGGUAUGAGCACCAAAUUACCAAGUCUCCAUACCCCAUUCAGUAUGAGACAACGUUCACAGUAGGGUUCCCUAUGAACUUAGUCCGUCUACUGUCUCCCAGAAUAUCUAAUGAGGCUAUCAUCAUAUCCAUUUAUCAAAUCACAUCCUAUUCCUAUUUGUCAUUAGUCUCUGUUACCAACUCAAACAUAAAUAUAUAAACAAGUAACGUGCAUCCAACAAAACAAGCAUAUCUUAAAUUCCCAAAAUCAAACAGUAGUGAAGUAAGCAGUGAUUCAUGUCUUUAAAACAAUAGAAUAGAUAAAUCAGAUACCAUAAUGCAUUUAAACUAUAAAAUAAAUCAAGCAGGAAUCGACAGAGAAUAAUGUCCGAUUUCAGGCUCCAUUAGCAACCUUAAUUAAUUAUGCAUAUCCAUUAAUUUAUAAAAAUGCAGUAUUACCAUGUAUUCGAACUUUAAUUCCAUGAUAGAAAAUAGAGUGAGGGGUCCUUACUUGAUUUGGCGUCGAAAACUAGAUUCUCACUGCGCCUACGGGCGGUCCCUAGGUUCUCUGAAUUUUUUUCAGGAACUGAAACGCACUUACGAUACCUACACAUGUCCUAAAUAACCUAAAAAAUCAGACCCAAUGCCUACUCGGUCAAUUUCAAAAUUUCGGCAAGGCGGCUCCGCCGUGUUCCGGUGACAACACCACCGCUCGCGACAGCGAUCUGCCUUGGGUUCGCUGUUUUCAGCCAUUUUCGGCUGAAUUCAGGCAAACUUGCAUCGGUUCUUGUGAGAAAACACACCUAGAACCCUCGGUGGGUUGAAAAAAUGUGAAAAACCAAAACUCACCGGCGGUGGGGCUCUCCGGCGCGGCAACUCAUCCGACUCACGUCGUGGUUGGGUGUUUUGCUCUAGUCAACCUGUAGAGGAGGAAACGGUGAUCACAACGGUAAAAAAAUUACAUUGAACGGGAAUCGGGAAUGGCCUUAUCGGAGGUAAAAAUCGAGACACCCAGCAGCUGGGCUGUCUUCUCCGGCGAGGGGCUCUGGUGGCUAGGGUUUGGGUUUGGGUGCGGAUAAGAUUAUUUAUACACAUCCGCUUUUGAUCUCAACCGUCCAUCGCUUUUAAUCUAGAUCGUCUGAUUGCGAUUAAAUAGGGAAUGAAUCUGGGCCGUUCAUCGCGAUUCAAUCUGGACCGUUCAUACGCGAUUCAAUCUGGAUCGUCCUUGCCUGAUGCAAUCUGGGUUGUCCAUGCGCGAUUCAAUCUGCGCCAUCCGUGCGUGAUGCAAUCUGAGCCGUCCAUGCACGAUGCAAUUUGGGUCGUCCGUGCGCGCGAGAACAGAUCUCAGCCGUUCGAUCACGCGCACGCGAAUCGCCCACGUGGCUCCCUCCCGCGUGGCCUCCUGCGUCAGCAUCUCUGUCACCUGGCGCGUCUUGGUUGGCCGGGGCUGCUGACCGAGCAGCUGACGUGGAACAACUUUUUUAAAUUAUAUUUUGACCCCCGAUUUUCGAUUUUUCUUUCAAAAAUACUUCCAAAAUCCAAAUUUUCAUCUCUUUUUAAUUAAAUUAUUUUCAAUUAAAUCCCUAAAUAAUUUUUACCCCUUAUUAUUAUUAUUAUUAUUAUUAUUAUUAUUAUUAUUUCUAUUAAAAUAAAAUAAAAUAAAUUAAAUUUUAUUAAUAUUAAAUUAUAUUUAUAUAGAAUAAAUUAAAUUAAAUUAAAUUAAUAUAAUAAUAACAAAAAUAAAAGGAAAUUUUUUUUUUUUUUUGGUGUUACAAUAUUGGGUAAGUGUAAUUUUUCUUUUGGGGUAAAGAAUUAAUGGGUUGGAGAAAUUUUAUUAAUAUUAAAAUGUUUGUUACUUGGUGGAAAUAUAUCUUUUAUAUUUUGACUAUCUAACUUUAAUUUUUGUUGGUUGCAUUUUUUGAGUGAAGUUAGGGAUAAACUUACCCUAUUUAGUCAAUGAUACCUUGAUUGCUAAAAUUAAAAUAGAAAAAAUGGUUUUGUUUCUUUUCUAACUAAGUAGCAUGUAUAUGAAUAUUUAAUUAAAAAAUAAUAAUUACUUAGUCAAUCUAAUCUAAAUUUUAUUAUAAUUAUUAAAGUAAAGCUGUAUCUUUAUAAUUUUUUAACAUAAAUAGGGCAAACGUUUCUUUCUACGAGAAUGGGUCACAUCUAGAUUUUCCGACUCAUUUGGAGAUAGUUUUAGACUUAGUAUUUGAUGUCGUUUGGCAUCCUAUUUACCUUAAAAAGUAUGAUAUUAUUGCAGUCUCCUAUAUAAAAGAGCUCUAUCUCGAUUAUAAGACUGUGGACAGCCCUAAUUGCAAUUCCUGAUCUUUAUAAAGCAUUAAACAUAUUUAUAUUAUUAAUCCCGCUUGGGGAGAUCCGUCAUGUUGACUAUAAUANNNNNNNNNNNNNNNNNNNNNNNNNNNNNNNNNNNNNNNNNNNNNNNNNNNNNNNNNNNNNNNNNNNNNNNNNNNNNNNNNNNNNNNNNNNNNNNNNNNNNNNNNNNNNNNNNNNNNNNNNNNNNNNNNNNNNNNNNNNNNNNNNNNNNNNNNNNNNNNNNNNNNNNNNNNNNNNNNNNNNNNNNNNNNNNNNNNNNNNNNNNNNNNNNNNNNNNNNNNNNNNNNNNNNNNNNNNNNNNNNNNNNNNNNNNNNNNNNNNNNNNNNNNNNNNNNNNNNNNNNNNNNNNNNNNNNNNNNNNNNNNNNNNNNNNNNNNNNNNNNNNNNNNNNNNNCACUCCCUAUUUAAUCGCGAUCGGACAUUUCAGAUCAAAAGCGAUGGAUGGCCCAAAUGAAAAGUGGAUGGGUAUAAAUAACCCUAUCCGCACCCAAACCCUAACCCUAACCACCAGAACCCCUCACUGGAGAAGACAGCCCAGCUGCCGGGGAGCCAACCGCCGCCACCCGCCGUCGCACUGGAGCAAUUUAAGACCGUCAAACGAGGUAAAAAUUUCACCAUUUACUCAGAAUUUAAUUUUAAACACACCCAUGACCAAAUUGGAGCAAAAAGACCGGCUAAUUGGCCGAAAAAAGCUGGAAAAACCCGGCAGGGCCGCCGCGGGGUAUUUCAGAAAAUGCCUCCGAUGAUGCUCUUCCCAAUUCCCGUUCGAUGUAAUUUUUUCACCGUUGUGAUCUCUGUUUCUUUCUUUACAAGUUGACCGGAGCAAAAUACCAAACCACAACGUGAGCCAGAGGAGCCGCCGCAUCGGAGAGCCCCGUCGCCGGUGAGUUUCAAUUUUCUACGUUUUUUCGACCAACCGAGGGCCCUAAAUAAGUUUUCUCACAGGAACCGAUGCAAAUUUGGCUGAAUUCAACCAAAAAAGGCCGAAAACAGCCAACCCGAGUCAGAUCACCGUCGUCGGAGCAUGGCGGAGCUGCAGUGCCGGAUUUUCGAAAUUAGCUGAGUAGGCCCCGGAACUGAUUUUUGGGUUAUUUGAGACAUUUGUAGGUACCGUAAGCGCGUUUCAGUUUUCGAAGAAAAAUUCAGGGAACCUAGGGACCGUCCAUAAGCCCAGUAAACCAUUUAGCUUUUCGGUGUCAAAUCAAGUAAAGACCCCUCACUUUAUUUUUUAUUAUGAAAUUGAAGUUUGAAUAAAUGAUAAUACAGUAUUUUGUACAAAUUAAAUAGAUGUGCAUAAUUAAUUACGGAUUUCUAAUAGAGUCCGAACCAAACAUUAUUCUCUAUUGAUUUCUGUUGAUUGAUUUUGUAACACCCAAAUUUUAUUAUUUUUAUAUUUUAAUUUAUUUUAAAUUAUAUUAGAAUUUUAGUUUAAUUUUUCAAUAGUUAAUUUAUAAGGUUUCAAUUUAAUUUAAUAAAAAUAAUAAUAAUAAUAAUAAUGAUAAAAUAGGAUAAAAUUAUUUUUGGGAUUUAAUUAAAAUUAAUUUCGAAAAAAAUGGAUGAAAAUUUGGAUUCUUGGAGUAUUUUUGAAAAGAAAAUUGGAAAGCGAAGUCAAAACGCAAUUUAGGAAAGUUGUGUCACGUCAGCAGCCACGUCAGCAGCCCCGUCAGCAGCCCCGGCUAACCAGAACACGCCGCGUGACAAGGAAGCUAACGCGGGAGGCCACGCGGGACGGAGCCACGUGGGUGAUCUGCGUGCACAUGAUCGAAUGGUCCAGAUCUCACGCGUGCGGAAGCCCAGAUCUCACGCGCAUGGACGGCACAAAUCACACACGUGCGAACGGCCCAGAUUGAAUCACGCACGGACGGCCUAGAUUUAUUUCCAUUUUAAUCGCGAUCGGACGGCUCAGAUUAUAUCGUGAUGGACGGCUGAGAUUAAAAGGAGAAGGUUAUAAAUAACCUCACCCACACCCGACCCCAAACCCUAGCUGCCAGUACCCUCGCCGGAGAAGAAGAACCAGUCACCGGAGGAGCCGGCCGCCGCCACCUGCUGCCGUUCCGGAGAGUUUUUCGACCGCCAAACGAGGUAAAUUUUCUCCCCUCAGCUCGUUUUUCGAUGUUGAAUCUGCCUAUAGCCAAAUCGGAGCCAAACCACCGGCCAAUCGGCCGAAAAACACCGUCGAAGUCCAGCGACGCUGCCGCGGCUUUCCUCGCUUUUUGCCUCUGAUGAGGCCCUUUCCGGUUCCCGUUCGAUGCAAUUUUUACACCACUGUGAUCACCGUCCUUUUCUCUACAGGUUGACCGGAGCAAAACAUUAAAUCGCGACUCGCGCCGGAGAAGCCGUCGCACCUGAGAGCUCCGUCGCCAGUAAGUCUCAGUUUUUCGUAAUUUUUUGGCCCACCGAGGGCCCUAGGGUUGUUUUAAUACAGGAACCAAUGCAUGUUUGGCCGAAUUCGGCCAAAAAAGGCCAACCCGAGGCGGAUCACCACUGCGGGCGGCGGUGCCGUCGUCGUAGCACAGCGGAGCCGCCGUGCUGGAAUUCUAAUAUUGGCCAAAAAGGGGGCUCUGGGUCUGAUUUGGGAUUUUUUGGGACACGUGCAGAUACCGGUAGUGCGUUUCAGUUUCCCAAUGAAAAUUAAGGGAAUUUAGGGACAGCCCAUAGGCGCAUUAUAGAGCCGAUUUCAGACCCCGAAAUAAGUAAAGAUCUCUCACCCUAUUUCCUAUCACGGCAUUAAAGGUUAAUAUAUUAUUAAACGGUAUUUUAUAAAUUCAUAAAUAUGUAUAAUUAAUUAAGAUUGCUAAUAGGGCUCGAACCUGAUGUAUUUGUCGGUCUGUUUUAUUUGAUGUAUUUACAGUCUAAAUACAGCAUGGGAUCUGAUGUAUUAAUUUAUGGGUUUUNNNNNNNNNNNNNNNNNNNNNNNNNNNNNNNNNNNNNNNNNNNNNNNNNNNNNNNNNNNNNNNNNNNNNNNNNNNNNNNNNNNNNNNNNNNNNNNNNNNNNNNNNNNNNNNNNNNNNNNNNNNNNNNNNNNNNNNNNNNNNNNNNNNNNNNNNNNNNNNNNNNNNNNNNNNNNNNNNNNNNNNNNNNNNNNNNGAUGUAUUUAUUUUAUGGUUUGUAUGCAUGAAUCACGGUUUGUUUAUUAUGGUUUGAACUAUUGGGAACUGAUGUUGUGUUGUUUUGUUUGGUGUUCAUUACUGGUUUACAUGUUUAUGUAUAAUUGGAUAAUUAAGACCAGAAAAAAUGGAAAAAUGUAUGUGAAUUCAUAAAUGGAUAAUGGCUACAGCAUUACUAGAUAUCCUUGGAGAUGGUAGACGGACCGGGUCCAUAGGAAACCCUACAGGUUCAUGGUUUUUAGGCGCCCAUACCGAACAGGGUAUGGGGAUGGCCCUGGAAUUAAGUUAUUAAUGUUAAUGGUUCACGUGUAGUGGGGACUCCCUAUGAAUCCCCAUAGAUACUAGAAGGCUGGUAAAAGAGGAAAUUUGUUGUCUGAUUAUUGAGGUACAAAAGUAUAACAUGUGUUACGUUAUAAAGUGUAUAUGAUUUUACGAUGGUUAUAAUGUUAUUGUUUUCAUAUAUUAUUUUCACGAAUCUCACCGAGGUAAGUGGACAGUAAAGGUUUUUAUUGUUGAUAAAUGAAUUUAUCAUGAAUUAUGCUCCAUUGGUUGUUUUUAUUUUUCUACAAACCUUUACUUCCAUGACAGUGAGAUAAUGUGAUGUCUUUACUAGACUAGUGUAGCUCAUUCCUUAUUUAACCAUUUCAGAUCAUGAGGAUUUGGUUCCCGAGCCCGUCCGGUAGGAAGACGGCGAGUAGACGUCUAAGGAAUUCACAGUUUUAUUUAUAGCAUUCAUUACUAGUAUUUACCUUAAUUAGUUUAUUCUUUCACACGUUGAAUAUGUUUUUGGUUAUUGUGUAAGGGAUGUUUAUCAGAAUUUUUAUUUCGCUUCCGCACUUAAAAUUUUUAAUACAUACAUUUUCUUUUAAAUUUUCGGGGCCAUUACAGUUGAUAUCAGAGCCGCGUUCCUCGGACUCAUCCCUUACACAAUAAUGCUUAGAGAAAUACCCACCGAUAAAUCGUUACUCAAUUCUUCCUUGUGAAACAAGUGCAAAGAAACGAAGAGAGGAAGACCCCCACUAAACCGAGCAGCCCGGGAUGAUUCGCUUCGGGAAGAUGUGGACAGAAUAUUUGAGAUGCUGGAAAGGAUCAUGGCCACCCAGCAAGGUCGAGAGGAGAGAAGGGAGUUACUCGAACCUCCCCCACUACCACGGGUUGAGCCACCGCUACAGCAAGCAGAUCCCGAGCCACCCCGGUACGAGCUUGCUCCACCACAGUACCACUCGGCACCACCGCCGCAGUAUUAACCGAUGCCCCAGCCACCGUACUGCCCGGCACCGCCACAGUACAAUCCGGUGCCCCCACCAUAUCAGCAGGGGGAUCCUCUUUUGAAGAUGCCUAAUACUGGUUGGCGGAGACUGAGAGAGCUUUCAAGACCUUGGGAGUGGUUUUCGAGCAGAGAGCUGCCCUUGCUUCCUACAUGCUGGUAGGGGAAGUAGGUCGUUGGUGAGAGCUCAAGCAGACCACCCUGCCUACACCAGCUACUUGGGAGCAGUUCUUAGCGGCCUUCCAUGCAGAGUAUCUCCCUGAGCACAUCCGACACCUGAAGGAGAUGGAGUUUGUUCAGCUAGUCCAAGGAAAUAUGACAGUAUCGGAAUAUGCUCGUAAGUUCCUAGAGCUGGGCCGAUACUCCUCGAAGACAUUGAUGGAUGAGGGCAGGAAGGCCAGGAGAUUUCAGUGGGGCCUUCGCCCAAAGAUCAAGCAACACUUAUUGGUACUGGAGCUCAAGACAUACUCAGUCGUUCUAGCAAAGGCACAGAUUGUGGAGAGGAGUUUCAACACCCGUCCUCAGUCAGCAGGGAGUCACCGACCCUCGGCUCCACCCCGCAGACCAGCACCUACUACGUCGGUCCAACCAAAUAAGAGUGCCCGAGGAACCAGAACCAAAGAAGACCUCCUUUUCAGGGCAGGGUUUACAACCUUACCCAGCAGGAUGCCGCCGUCGACCCGGAUGUGGUACAGGGCAAGCCCAAGAAGGAAAUUUGUAUCCAAGAGAUUCUGGUAGUUUGAGACUUUUCAGAUGUGUUUCCGGACAAACUACCCAGACUACCAGUGGACAGGGAAGUCGAGUUCACUAUAGACUUACAGCCAGGCACCCAGCCCAUUUCGGUUGCUCCUUACCGCAUGAGCCACAUUGAGAUGGAAGAGCUGAGGAAAUAGAUCAUUGAAUUACAAGACAGUGAUUUUAUUAAACACAGUGUGUCCCUUUGGGGUGCCAGAGUCACUUUUGUAAGGAAGGGAGAUGGAACGUUGAGACUGUGUAUUGAUUACAGAGGAUUGAACAAGGUUACGAUCAAGAAUAAAUAUCCCCUUCCCAGAAUUGAUGACCUCUUCGAUCAGCUGCAGGGUGCACAGGUCUUCUCUAAAAUAGACCUGCGAUCAGGCUAUCAUCAGGUGAAGAUAAGAACAGAAGACAUCCCCAAGACGGCCUUUCGAACCAGGUACGGACACUAUGAGUUCCUGGUCAUGCCAUUUGGGCUAACCAACGGCCCGGCAAUCUUUAUGGAUCUGAUGAACAGAGUCUUCAGAGAGUUCUUGGAUCAAUUUGUUAUCGUGUUCAUCGAUGAUAUCUUAGUCUACUCAAAAAGCAGAGAAGAACAUACUCACCAUCUUGCCCAAGUUUUGCAGGUCCUCAGAAACAAGAAAUUAUAUGCAAAAUUGAGUAAGUGUGGAUUCUGGCUUGAGCAGACCGCCUUCUUAAGACACAUCAUAUCGAAGGAAGGAGUAUCAGUGAAUCCUGAAAAGGUUGAAGCGGUACUUGGCUGGGGGAAGUUGACAUCAGUUAAGGAAAUCCGGAGUUUCCUGGGGAUGGCAGGUUAUUACCGCAGGUUUGUUGAAGGAUUCUCCAGCCUGACAGCUCGUCUAACCCGACUCACAAAGAAGAAUGCCAAAGUUGAGUGGAAUGAGGACUACGAAAGAAGUUUUUCAGAAUUAAAGAAGUGGCUGACUACUGCACCCAUACUGGUUUUACCGAGUAGAUCGAGGGGAUAUACAGUUUAUAGUGAUGCCUCCUAUCUAGGCUUGGGUUGUGUCCUGAUGCAGCAUGGAAAGGUCAUAGCAUAUGGGUCUAGGCAGUUAAAGAAUCAUGAGAAGAAUUAUCUCACCCAUGACUUGGAGCUUACCGCAAUCAUACACGCCUUGAAAACCCGGUGCCACUACUUAUACGGAGAGACCUUUUAAAUCUAUACCAAUCAUAAGAGUUUGAAACAUAUAUUCACUAAAAAUGAUCUCAACAUGCGUCAGAGAAGGUGGAUGGAAACCCUUAAAGAUUAUGAUUAUGAUAUCUUAUACCAUCCGGGUAAGCAACGUGGUAGCAGAUGCUCUCAGCAGGAAAAGUGCAGGUAUCUUAGCCCAUUUGAUGGUUUCAGAAUGCAGGCAAAUUAGGGCCACACAACAGGUUCGACUUCAGGACUUGAGGAAAGUCACAUGUUUGGGUUGCCUUACAGUCCAACCCAAGUUAAUCCAGAGAAUAAGGGAAGCCCAGUUAGUUAACCCCGCCCUGGUAGCCCGCAAGAAGGAUGCAGAACAGGAAGUGAGCUCAGAAUUUCGAAUCUCUGCCGAUGGAUUACUCCGUUUCCAAGACAGGGUGUGUGUCCCAGAUGACAGUGAGUUAAAGAGAGACAUCAUGACAGAGUUCCAUAGCUCGAAGUUUGUCAUGCAUCCAGGAAGCACCAAAAUGUACCAAGGCAUGCGACCCUAGUUUUGGUGGAAUGGGAUGAAGAGAGACAUAGCCGACUUUGUAUUCAAGUGCUUGGUAUGUCAGCAGGUCAAAGCAGAGCAUCAGCACCCAGGUGGGCUACUUCAGCCGUUACCGAUUCCAGAGUGGAAGUGGGAACACAUCACCAUGGACUUCGUAACGGGAUUACCCGAGGCACGUUCAAGACAUGACGCCAUCUGGGUAAUUGUUGACCAACUUACCAAAUCUUCUCACUUCUUGGCCAUCAGAAUGACCGACCCCUUGGACAAGUUGGCAAGAAUGUAUAUCCGAAAAAUAGUCAGAUUGCACGGAGUUCCAAUAACAGUGGUAUCCGACAAGGACCACAGGUUCACUUCUCGGUUUUGGAGUAGUUUUCAGCAAGCCAUGGGAACAAAGCUGUCUCUCAGUACUGCCUUCCAUCCUCAUACUGAUGGACAAUUAGAAAGGACAAUUUGUACACUUGAGGAUAUGCUAUGAGUAUGUGUCCUUGACUCCCGGGGCCAUUGGGACGAUCAUCUACCCCUGAUAGAGUUUGCCUACAACAACAGGUACUAAGCAAUCAUCGGCAUAGCUCCAUAUGAGGCGUUAUAUGGGCGCCCGUGUAGAUCACCGAUUUUUUGGGAAGAAGUGGGCGAUAGAAGAUUGUUCGGCCCGGAGUUGGUAGAGGAGACCACGUCUAAAAUAGUUAAAAUCAUAAAGAAUAUUCAGACGGCUCAGAGCAGGCAAAAGAGUUAUGCGGACACCCGAAUGAGAGAUCUAGCGUUUGAGAAAUGCGACCGGGUGUUCCUUAAGAUCACUCCUUUCAAGAUAAUUAGUAGGUUCGGCAGCAGGGAAAAAUUGAACCCCUGAUUUAUUGAACCUUUUGAAAUCUUAGACAGGAUUGGUACUACUGCCUACAAACUAGCACUGCCUCUAGAGCUCUCCAAGGUCCACAAUGUGUUCCACGUAUCCAUGCUACGUAAGUACAACCCGGACCCCUCUCAUGUCUUGGCUCAUGAACCGCUUCCACUCCAAGAGAACUUAUCUUAUGAAGAAGUACCAGUCGGUAUCACGGACCGAAAGAGCAGGAUACUCCGCAACCGGGAAAUAUCAUUUGUAAAGGUCGUGUGGCAGAACCACACGCCAAGGAAGGCUACCUGGGAGCUAGAAUCAGAUUUUAGAUCCCAGUAUCUCCAUUUGUUCGACCAAGAGUAAGAGGCAAAUUUGGGGGACCAAAUUUCUUUAAGGGGGGGGAGAGUUGUAACACCCAAAUUUUAUUAUUUUUAUUUUUUAAUUUAUUUUAAAUUAUAUUAGAAUUUUAGUUUAAUUUUUUAAUAUUUAAUUUAUAAGGUUUUAAUUUAAUUUAAUAAAAAUAAAAAUAAUAAUAAUGAUAAAAUAGGGUAAAAUUAUUUUUGGGAUUUAAUUGAAAUGGAUUUUGAAAAAAAUAGGUGAAAAUUUAGAUUCUGUGAGUGUUUUUGAAAAGAAAAUUAGAAACUGGGGGUCAAAAUGUAAUUUAGAAAAUUAGAAACUGGGGGUCAAAAUGUAAUUUAGAAAAGUUGUACCACGUCAGCAGCCCCGGCCAACCAGAACACGCCACAUGGCAAGGAAGCUGACGCGGGAGGCCACGCGGGCGAUCCGCAUGCACGCGAUCGAACGGUCCAGAUCUCACGCGUGCGGACGGCCCAGAUCUCACGCGCACGGACGGCCCAGAUUGAAUCACGCACGGACGGCUCAGAUUGCAUCGCGAUAGACGGCCCAAAUUUAUUCUCAUUUUAAUCGCGAUCGGACGGCCUAGAUUAAAUCGUGAUGACGGUUGAGAUUAAAAGGAGAAGGUUAUAAAUAACUUCACCCACACCCGACCCCAAACCUUAGCCGCCAGUACCCUCGCCGGAGAAAAAGAACCAGUCACCGGAAGAGCCGACCACCGCCACCCGCCGCCGCACCGGAGGAUUUUUCGACUGCUGAACGAGGUAAAUUUUCUCCCCUCGGCUCGUUUUUCGAUACUGAAUUCGCGUAUGGCCAAAUCAGAGCCAAACCACUGGGUAAUCGGCCAAAAAAUACCACUGAAGUCCAGCGGCGCCGUCGCGGCUUCCCUCAGUUUUUGCCUCCGAUGAGGCCCUUUUCGGUUCCUGUUCCAUGCAAUUUUUACACCACUGUGAUCACCGUCCUUUUCUCUAUAGGUUGACCAGAGAAAAACAUCAAAUCGCAACUUGCGCUGGAGAAGCCGCCGCACCCGAGAGCUCCGCCGCCGGUAAGUCUCGGUUUUUCGUAAUUUUUUGGCCCACCGAGGGCUCUAGGGUUGUUUUAUCGCAAGAACCAAUGCAAGUUUAGACGAAUUCGGCUGAAAAUGGCCAACCCGAGGUGGAUCACCGCCGCAGGCGGUGGUGCCGUCGCCGGAGCACGGGGGAGUUGCCGUGCCAGAAUUUCGAUGUUGGCCAAAAAGGGGCCCUGGGUCUUAUUUGGGGUUUUUUGGGACACGUGCAGGUACCGGUAGUGCGUUUCAGUUUUCUGAGAAAAAUUCAGGGAAUUUAGGGAUAGCUCGUAGGUGCAUUGUAGAGCCGAUUUCAGACCACGAAACAAGUAAGGAUUUCUCACUCUAUUUCCUAUCACGGCAUUAAAGGUUAAUAGAUUAUUAAACGGUAUUUUAUGAAUUCGUAAAUAUGUAUAAUUAAUUAAGAUUGCUAAUGGGGCCCGAUCCUGAUGUAUUUGUCGGUCUGUUUCUGUUUGAUGUAUUUUACAAUUUAAAUGCAGCAUGGUAUCUGAUGUAUUUAUUUUAUGGUUUCGUAUGCAUGAAUCACGGUUUCGUUUAUUAUGUUUUGAAUUAUUUUAAUUCAUCUACCUGUUAAUAAAAAUAAAAAAACUUAUUAAUAGAUUUAACAUCAAUAAGGUUAAUUCAAAUCCAUUUUAAGAUAAGACAAUCUUUAAGUAUAUGGAUGAUGCUUUUACUUCUCUCCAUGUACCUUGGACAUUUGUUCACUAUUACUUAUAUACAUAUUUUUUUUAUAGAUAACAGAUAUUUGAAGAUAAGAAAUCACAUAAAAUAAGAAUAUUUUGUAUGACUUGAAACAUAAAGAGUUUUCAAAUAUUAAAUGUGAAUUGUAUACUAGUUUACUAUAGAGAUAAAUUAUUUUUUAUUUGUAUCAUUUUUCCAAUAAUGGACAAUUUUUUAGUUCUUUUUUUAAGCUAUAUGUAAUUUAUUGAGCUUAAGUUCGACUGUAUGAUUUUAUUCUCAAAAAGAAAAAAACUUAAUGAUUAUUUUUAAUAAAAUGAACAUUGAAUCUCAUAAGUAUUCAAUUUUUAUACUUUUUCCAGUUUGGAAUAAGAAUAGCUAUUAAUAAAUAUCUUUUCUUUAUCCCCAAAAAGAUUAGAUCUAAUAAUCAUUUAACUUAUCUUACAACUAUAAUUAUUAUUCUAAUGUUAUAAUUAAGUUAUUGUGCUAUUAAAAAAUUAGACAAAAAAUUUAUAGGUUCAUAAAUAAUUUAUAAACUAAGUUUUUAAAUUUCAUUCUGAAUCUUACUUUAAAUGUUAGCCAUUAUGCAUAUAAUUACAAUGUAAUCUUUUAUUUUUAGAAAAAAAUUACAGAAAUCAUCCUCAAAUUUAUGAAAUACACAGGCAAUUCUAUAACUUAAAUUCUUAAACAGUAUUAUACAUUAAUACUUACUAACAGAGUAACCACUUAGAAUUGAAAUUACAAUCUUGUUUUUUACUCUCAAACAAUCAUCGAUGCAGUCAGAAUCACGAAAUAUUUGACAUUUCAUCAAACAGUUUCCGAGUACACUCAGUUAAACUUCUGAUUAUAGUAUAAAGGCGGCCAGAAGAGUUACAAACACAUAAUAACACAAGAAAGCAUUUGUCAAAGAGGAAGACAACACAAACACCCAUGUCCAAAUUCCAGACUUAAGGUCUCUGUCUCUCUGGCAUUUUAUUGAACAAUCUCCGAAGCAAACUCGGACCAUCCAUACAAGAAUAUCAGUUAGCUUAAUUUAUACCAUACAAAAAAUUAUAAUUCAAAGCAUAUCAUACCCAAUUAGUUUUAGUUAGUGUAGCAUAAAACCCAGAAAACAGAUUCCUAAAAAUGUAUGUGCUUUAAAUAGUACAGUCAUUAUCUGCCUUCAAGAACUGUAAUAGUAAUUUUGUUAGUAGAAUUCAUAGGAGAAGAGUUUGUGUUAUUCAAGAUUUGCCUUUCAGUGAAUGCUGGCUGUUUCGGAUUAGGAAGAUCAACAAUCUCGCUCUUGAGCAUCGAGAUAACAGUCGAUACACUUGGCCGAUCUUUCGCAAAUUCUUGCACACACAACAAUCCCACAUGUACGCAUCUAAGCAUUUCUUCCUUAAACCUUGGUUCGAACAUGACUGCAUCGAUGAAUUCUACAAUGUUUUCCUCUUUCCACAAUUUCCAUGCCUGAAAAGUGAAAAUUGUAAGCAUUUGUUGACCUUAAAAUAUGGAGCCUUAUGUAAGUUUUGAAUUAGAUAGACUUACAUAACUCAAAAGAUUAAGAAACUGUUUAUCACUAUAGAAACUUGAGUUUCUCCUUCCACUUAUAAUCUCUAACAAUAAAACUCCAAAGCUAAAUACAUCUGAUUUCUCGGAGAACUGACCUUCCAUUGCAUAUUCAGGUGACAUAUAACCACUGCAGUUAAGAAAAUCUAUAUAUCUUGAGCUCAACUUUGUUGGAUUAUAAUUCUUACAAUGUUAAAAAGCUACUUACUAUGUUCCAACAACUCUUCUUGUAUUAGCUCGAUCUUCUUUGCCUCCAAAAAUCCUUGCCAUUCCGAAGUCUGAAAUUUUUGGGUUUAGUUCCUCAUCCAACAAGAUGUUACUUGCCUUUAAAUCUCGAUGAAUAAUUCGUAAUCUUGAGUCUCUGUGUAGGUAAAGGAGACCUCGACCAAUUCCUUCGAUAAUAUUAAGGCGCUUUCUCCAAUUUAAACAUUUUCUCUCAAUUGGAUCUAGAUCAAGUUUAUGUGAAAAAGAUUACAGAAAAGAGGUGAUCAGUAGUUGUUCUGUAAAGUAAAAAGAAAAUGGUGCUUGAUGUUCAAGUAACCAUAGAAUAAGUUUCAAUUUUAUUUAUUUAUUGCUGGUGUUGAUAAAAACUAUAUUGAUCGCUACGACUAACCAAAGAGAAUUGCAUCCAAGCUUCGGUUUGGCAUGUACUCAUAGACUAGAAUAUUUUCUUCGCCUUCAACACAGCAGCCAAAAAGUCUAACAAGAUUUCGAUGUUGAAGUUUAGAAAUCACUACAACUUCGUUCCUAAAUUCUUCGAGUCCUUGUCCAGAAUUACUCGAAAGUCUCUUCACUGCUACUUCUUGCCCAUCUUGCAGCUUUCCCUGGAAAGAAAAUCCGAGCCAAGAACACUAUGAGUACUAAAUAGUAUGACAUUAUAAUCCAACAACAAUUUGAGUUUUAACUAACCUUGUAUACUGGACCAAAACCACCCUGCCCAAGCUUGUUGGAUGGAUUAAAGUUGUUUGUUGCUGCUGCUAGUAUCUCAAAAUUGAACAAUGGCAGCUCCUGAACUCUGAUUUGAUUCUUAUUAUGCCCGAGCAAAUCAAUACUCAAAAGUUUUGUACUUCCCCCUAUGAUAAACAAAUAGGAUUUCUACAUUUCUUCCCUUUGAACAGUAAGAGUGAACAGUCUAUCUUCAAACUAAAUUGUUAGAGAUGUUGCAAAAUUUACCUCUAUGUUUAACCAUCCAUCUCCGUAAGAAAAAUGUGCAGAUGGAAAUGGCUACUGUUCCCAAUAUGGCUGCAGUAAUGAUAAGAGCUCCAGAAUCCUCCUUUUUGUCUGGAAAUCAAAAGAAAAACAAAUAAAAAGAUAAGGUUUUUGGGUCUGACUUGGAAAUAGUGUUUGAUAAGAUGAUCAUGGUUUCCAUGGUAUGCUGCUUAGCUAUUUGGAAAAAUCUGAACUUUAGCAGAUGAUAUGUGGAAAUGGUGGAGAGACUUUUCGGUGAUGGUUAAGGAAGAAGCUGCAGCCGUAUUAAGUUGAUAACUGAGGCUUAAAGUUGCAUAGAAAAGGCAAAAACACAAAACAGUUGAGUGAACUACCUAGUUCUGAAUAGUGGAGACGAAUGUGAAGGUCUAUGCCAUCUGAUAAGAGAAUCUGUACAUCAAUUAAGGUUCCUGUCCAUAACAUACACCCGAUGCCACUAUUAUAUGCAUAAGCUACACAGGAACAAUUACUGAAACAAUAGUCUUUACACUCAUCCUCGAGCCUGAAAGACCAUUGUACAAAGUCUGGAACUUUAACAUUUGCCAGUUUAUCAAACCCAUCUUCUUGGCUUGCUUUCCCACCAUUGUUCCUAUUGCACUGCAAGCUUUUCUUCCUAACACAACCACCUGUCCAGUUUCCUCUCUUCCACUCCUCUGGAUUCUUCGGUUCAAACCCUUUCAAGCAGCUGCAGAUUCUUUCUUUGUCACAGUAUCCAAAUUCUCCACACUUUCCAUAAAGUUCACAUUCAGUACUUGGAACCAUCCAGACAUGCUCCCAGUUAUUUUUCCUCUCUUCCCAAAAUGUUUGUACCAAAUUUCCCUCUGAGCUCAACACAAACUUAGUUACCAAAGACGUAUUCGAAAAAGUAUAUGAUAAGUAAAAAGUCCCUUCUUCAUCCACCAGUUUAAACCCAUUUCCGUAACUAGAACUUAUAUCUGUUACCUCGGUAAAUAUCAGGCCAUUCCAUGGACCACUUCGCCAAAAUGGGCGAGAACCAUUCCAAAUGAAAAACUCAGGAGCACUAACAACAUCUAUCCCAGCUGAAAACAUUCCAUCAGAUGGAUCAGGACUUUUCCAUGAUGAAAUCUUCACUGUCUUCCCAGUUCUCGGAUUAGUACUAAGCCUCAUCUUCGAUGUGACUGUGUUCGAUGGAUGCUGGAAGCUCUCCCACAAGGUAACUCCACUUGAAUCAUCUUUGAGGACAAGGUUUCCAGUAUCCAAAAGCUGAGCACAAGAAUUCUUCACCGGAUUGGAAAUAUUUGAUGACCAAAGAAUCUCAUUCUUCCCAGUCAGAAUGACCAGAUUUCCAUCAUCUGAUAUCUUCAUACUCCCGGAGGAAUCUUGAAGCGGCUUAUUUCGGUUAGCUACCCAGAUGACAGUCCUUCCAGGAAGAUCAUUGUACCAUAUUCCUGCAUACCGACGAGUCGAAUUAUCAGGACUGAAGAAUCCUAGUCUGAAAGAUCCUUGGCUGGAGAUUAUAGAUUCAGUGUCACUGAUGAAUUGAAUUGGUGUGAUGGUGUCAAAAGCAGCACAGAAUUUUAGAAGAAAACAACCUAACAAGCCGGAUAGAAGGAAUGAAAUCAAGCUGCUUCUGGCAUUCAUGAUCAGUUAAUUGCUCACUGAUGAAUUGAAUUGGUGUAAUGGUGCCAAAAGCAGCACAGAAUUUUAGAAGAAAACAAUCUAACAAGCCGGAUAGAAGGAAUGAAAAGCUGCUUCUGACAUUCAUGGUCAGUUAAUUGCUUGAUCUCUGGUAAGGGCUUGACCAUGGGAAUGCAGGCGGUUUGAUAUGGGAGUUAUAGUUGACUUGACUUCUACAGUUGUGACGUAGAAGUCAUAAUAUUUUUUAAUUUUUAUUAUAUUUAUUAUAUAUUUUUAAUUAAUAAUACACGUGAUACAAUAAAAUAUAAUUUUCAUACAAAAUUUUCAGGGUCAUUUUGUUGCUCUCCUUCGGUCUCUCUCGCUCUCUAUGCUUAUUGCAGUAACUCAAAUUUGGAGUUGUUAGAAGAUUUUUUUUUCUCUCGUAGAAGUUGAUUUUGUUUCUUUUCUGGUUUGCUCUAUCUUAUAGAGUGAUCGAGUUUAUGAUAUGAAGAAUGAUCUAUUAGAGGAUAUUAAUGAGUUUUUCGGUUGAAUUUUAGGGUUAUUACUUGUUCCAAUUUAAAGUCUGACCUUAAUUGCUCUUCUCUAAACAGUUCUUGGUUUGUGCGGCAAUAAUCCAUCUUUGAUCGCCUAGCUAAGUUAAUCUCGAUUUGGUGUCAUUUCUAUAUGAAGGUUGGGAUUAAAAAUGUGAUGCCUGUGGGUUUGGUAUGGAUUCCCGCGCUUAAGGAAGUCCUCUACGAACGGAAAGUAAAUUAGAAGAAACAAAGCUGCUCGCAAAUGGUUCCUUCUAGUGGCAUCAGGCUCCUUCACUGGAUGGCUUGUCGCUCUUUCUCCUUGUGCCUUAUUGAAGAUUCCAGAAAUUUAGUAAUGAUUCUUUCUUUUUCUUCUACACACACACAGAGACACACAUUUAUAUGGGGUUUAGGCGUUUGUUUAAUAUUCUUCUUGUUGACUUGAGUUCAGCUAUAUAGAGCAGUAACUGGAAGAAGCUUGCGGGGAUUUAGCACUGGGUUUUGCAGCAGCUCGCGCAGAGUUUCUGGGAGUUAUGAACCAAAAAAUGGUGAAGUUAUUUAUGAUUCCUAGUUGUGGUUCCCAUUUUCUUUCGUCUUUUUGGCUUGAGAAAAUGAAGAAAAAGGAAAGAGUAUUAUAAUUAACUUUUCUGUUCUAUUGUUGGUGAAGUGGAUUUUUAAAAUUGAAAAUUUAUCUGAUUGUUUAAUCUGCAUUUGAUACUACUAGCAUAGGAUAAACUUUCUUUAGUUUUGUGUUGAAAUGCAGCUAACCAUAGAAACUGGCUACCAUUAUGGUUUUUUAGUGCAAAUUCGGGUGUGACAAGGUCAAUUCACUGUACUGGUAUUUCUCAUGUUCUUUGAGCUCCUCCUGAUCUGGUGAUAGUCUGAUCACAAGUCUAUCUUGAAAAAAGAUCAUGGCUUUAUGUAAUUCGUCCAGAAGGUCAUCAUCAGUCACAGGCAUGAGAAACUUAUUUUUUACUGUGAUUGAGUUUAACUGUGUGUAGUCUAUGCAUAACGCCCAAGAGCCAUCUUUCUUUUUAAUUAAGUGCAGUGGAGAGGCAAAUGGGCUGUGGCUGGGUUGAAUGAUGGACCUGUCCAGCAUCUUGGCGAUUUCUUCUCGAUUUUUGUCUUUUAAAGAUAAGGGUGCCUAUAAGGUCAUUGGUGGUGCCUCUGCCAUUAGAGGAAUGGAGUGGUCUUGCUCUCUUCUUGGUGGUAAGGAGUUGGGUUCCUAAAAAAUUCCUUGAUAUUUGCCGAUUAUAGGUAACAAAUAACUCUUCAUUAUCCUUAACCCCCUCCUAAACCUUUCCUGGCAUUAGAGGAAUGGAGUGGUCUUGCUCUCUUCUUGGUGGUAAGGAGUUGGGUUCCUCAAAAGUUCCUUGAUAUUUGCCGAUUAUAGGUAACAAAUAACUCCUCGUUAUCAUUAACCUCCUCGUAAACCUUUCCUGGCAUUAGAGGAAUGGAGUGGUCUUGCUCUCUUCUUGGUGCUAAGGAGUUGGGUUCCUCAAAAACUCCUUGGUAUUUGCUGAUUAUAGGUAACAAUAAUUCCUCAUUAUCAUUAACCCCCUCCUGAGCCCUUCUUGGUUGGGUUUUGUAUUGAAUGGAGUACACUAGUUGGGUUCCUCAAAAAUUUCUCGGUAUUUGCCGAUUAUAGGUAACAAUAACUCGUCGUUAUCAUUAACUCCCUCCUGAGCCUUUCCUGGUUGGGUUUUGUAUUGAAUGGAGUAUGUGUCUUCCCCUCCUUGUUGUGCCUUUAGGAGCCAUCUUCCCCACCCUUUACCUAGUGCCUGCGUCAGUAAUCCUUCACCUUUUACUCCUUGAAUGAUCACUGGUUUCCCAUCCUUUGUUAAGAUAAUUUGCAUCUUUUUAAAGUUGAAGG
rnacentral:lncRNA from 1 species